rnacentral:rRNA from 1 species
GACGAACGCUGGCGGCGUGCUUAACACAUGCAAGUCGAACGGAAAGGCCCUGCUUUUGUGGGGUGCUCGAGGGGCGAACGGGUGAGUUACACGUGAGUAACCUGCCCUUGACUUUGGGAUAACUUCAGGCAACUGGGGCUAAUACCGGAUAGGAGCUCCUGCUGCUUGGUGGGGGUUGGAAAGUUUCGGCGGUUGGGGAUGGACUCGCGGCUUAUCAGCUUGUUGGUGGGGUAGUGGCUUACCAAGGCUUUGACGGGUAGCCGGCCUGAGAGGGUGACCGGCCACAUUGGGACUGAGAUACGGCCCAGACUCCAACGGGAGGCAGCAGUGGGGAAUAUUACACAAUGGGCGGAAGCCUGAUGCAACCACGCCGCGUGCGGGAUGACGGCCAUGGGGUUGUAAAGCGCUGUCGCCUGUGACGAAGCGUGAGUGACGGUAAUGGGUAAAGAAGCACCGGCUAACUACGUG